CUGUGUCGGUUCACGUUAGGCCACCGAUCUGUAAUAGUGUUUUUUUUCCCUGACGUGUGUGUAAAAAUAAGUAUUUUUGAGACAUUUCUUGUCUUAUGAGUCGACGUGAAGUGUGGAUUUGACGUUUUGUCUGUUUUAAAGACGCAUCAUUCUGCAUUGCCUCAGACUGAUUGUGAUCCUGAAAUAUGAACAAUCCAGCACCUUCAUUCUUGUGCAGUUUAACAGGUCUGCAUUGACUUGGACUUGAACAAAACAGGCUACAAUCUAAGUGACCAGAAAACCAUAUGCUCAGGAAAGCACUGAACCAGCUAAACACUGAAAAGAGCAAGCCAAACAGUCAUGGACCAGCUCACAGACAGAAGCCAUGACAAGCUGUCUGUAGUAGAUGGAAAACCUGCUGGUAAUGGCAGCACAAAGACAGAGAUCUCGUUGAGACAAGGACGAGGCGGGCGUGACGGAGACACAGGCCACUCGGUGAGUUAAGACAGCUGGACAGGCCCGGUGACGUCCUCUUAUGAGUCAGACCUGAUGGGACAAAUGUGGCCAAAUAUAGUUCCAGGUCUGAAACACAGGGUCUUUCAAAGUUUGAGAAUUAUUUAUUAAAGAAAAAGAAGAAAUCCUU